ensembl:snRNA U6 U6 spliceosomal RNA
GUGCUCACUUUGGCAGCACCUAUACUAAAAUUGGGAUGAUACAUAGAAGAUUAGCAUGGCCCUUGUGCAAGGAUGACACACAGAUUUCUAAUGCAAUAGUUAA